rnacentral:lncRNA from 1 species
UCAGAACGAAUAAUCAAAGGAAACACUAAUCUUCACAUAAGAUACUGAAAAAGCAAAAUACAUAUACAGAAAUAUGUAAGCAGAACAAAUCCAAAAUGAAAGAAAGUGAGUCUUGCACUAAAUCUUCACACGCAAAAAAGGAUUGUAAUGGCUGGACUAAAAUGGAAACCUCGAUGGAAUUACAACCCAAACCUCCAAUCUCGUUGGAAUUAAUGACGCUAGUACCAUAGCGAUGGCGAUAUUGAGCUACAGCAAAAUGACACCAAAAUACUAGCUACAGCAAGAUGACACCAAAAUGAAAGAAACCCCAUCUCUCUCACUACAUCUCCAUUUUCUCCAUAGUAGCUAACACACACGAGCAGAGAGAAGAUAUUAAGAGCAUCAGCGCCUGAAGAGAAAAGGGGUCUUCUGGGUUCAUGGGUUGCCCGUUCUUUUGUUUAAGAAGAAGAGCUCAUGGAGGUUUUGUGUCUUAGGGCUUGCGGCUGAAGCUUAAAAUUGAACAACUGGGAGCAGUCUGGUUCGUGGUUUUUCCGGCGAGCUGAGUUGAGGAUGACGACUUCUACUAUAGAGAUUAGGGUUAUGCUUUUUUUGGGUUGAAGAUAGAGGAGUAUGUCCGUAUUUGCUCUAAGUCGUGGAGAAGAUGAAGACGGGGGGGAGGGGGGUCUCUCCAAUGGGUAAAUGUUGGCUGAAAAAGAUGAAGGGGGGAGGGGGUGUUCUGAUCUUGGGGUAUUGCGGUUUCUUGUUUGGUCUCUAGGUUAGCAAGAUUCUAUAGGGCUGUAAAAUGAAGAAGGAGAACUUACAAUUUUAUGGUCCUCCCUGUCACAAACGGUGGAUCUCAAUUAGGUCAACGGCACAAAUAGCC